rnacentral:rRNA from 1 species
AGAUUAAGUUAUUAAGGGCGCACGGUGGAUGCCUUGGCACUAGAAGCCGAUGAAGGACGUUACUAACGACGAUAUGCUUUGGGGAGCUGUAAGUAAGCUUUGAUCCAGAGAUUUCCGAAUGGGGAAACCCAGCAUGAGUUAUGUCAUGUUAUCGAUAUGUGAAUACAUAGCAUAUCAGAAGGCACACCCGGAGAACUGAAACAUCUUAGUACCCGGAGGAAGAGAAAGAAAAUUCGAUUCCCUUAGUAGCGGCGAGCGAAACGGGAAGAGCCCAAACCAAAAAGCUUGCUUGUUGGGGUUGUAGGACACUCUAUACGGAGUUACAAAGGACGACAUUAGACGAAUCAUCUGGAAAGAUGAAUCAAAGAAGGUAAUAAUCCUGUAGUCGAAAAUGUUGUCUCUCUUGAGUGGAUCCUGAGUACGACGGAGCACGUGAAAUUCCGUCGGAAUCUGGGAGGACCAUCUCCUAAGGCUAAAUACUCUCUAGUGACCGAUAGUGAACCAGUACCGUGAGGGAAAGGUGAAAAGCACCCCGGAAGGAGAGUGAAAUAGAACCUGAAACCGUGUGCUUACAAGUAGUCAGAGCCCGUUAAUGGGUGAUGGCGUGCCUUUUGUAGAAUGAACCGGCGAGUUACGAUUUGAUGCAAGGUUAAGCAGUAAAUGUGGAGCCGUAGCGAAAGCGAGUCUGAAUAGGGCGUUUAGUAUUUGGUCGUAGACCCGAAACCAGGUGAUCUACCCUUGGUCAGGUUGAAGUUCAGGUAACACUGAAUGGAGGACCGAACCGACUUACGUUGAAAAGUGAGCGGAUGAACUGAGGGUAGCGGAGAAAUUCCAAUCGAACCUGGAGAUAGCUGGUUCUCUCCGAAAUAGCUUUAGGGCUAGCCUCAAGUGAUGAUUAUUGGAGGUAGAGCACUGUUUGGACGAGGGGCCCCUCUCGGGUUACCGAAUUCAGACAAACUCCGAAUGCCAAUUAAUUUAGCUUGGGAGUCAGAACAUGGGUGAUAAGGUCCGUGUUCGAAAGGGAAACAGCCCAAACCACCAGCUAAGGUCCCAAAAUAUAUGUUUAGUGGAAAAGGAUGUGGCGUUGCCCAGACAACUAGGA